rnacentral:rRNA from 1 species
UCCUUGAUUGGUGGUAGAAGCGCUUCCGCAUUCAACACAUGCAUAUGCCCCUGUCCGUGGAGGUUACUGUGAACAAAACAGCGUGUCCAAAGCAACCACAUGUCUGGCUGAAUGAUCUAGCAUGGAAUAACAAGGCAUCGACCACUGGAGUCAGCCUUUUUGUUGGUUUUACAUGACCCAGUUGGGCAAUGCAGGGCUUGUGCUUCAUUGAGGUUCUUAGUCAGCUCUACCGAACUGUCUUCCCUCAGUUGGACCUUGUUCCCUAUCGGGAUCAAUGGAAGCCAUCGGGGUGGUAUGUAUUCCGACGUGAGCGGUGAAAUGCUUAGACCGUUGGAAGACAAACGACAGCGAAGGCAUUCCGCCAGAAUGUUUUCAUUAAUCAAGAACGAGAGUGUGGGGAUCGAAGAUGAUCAGAUACCAUCGUAGUCCAUUACCGUAAACUAUGCCAACUCGGCAUUGGGAGUCUGUUCACUUUGAAGACUCUCCCAGCAUCAUCCCCCAAUAACGAGAAAUCCAAGUCUAUGGGUUCAGGGGGGAGUACAGUCGCAAGGCUGAAACUUAAAGGAAUUGACGGAAUGACACCACAAGGCGUGGAGUAUGCGGCUUAAUUUGACCCAACACGGGGAAGCUUACCAGGUCAGACACAGUAAGGAUUGACAGAUUGAGAGCUCUUUCUUGAUCCUAUGGAUGGUGGUGCAUGGCCGUUUCUGGUUCGUGGAGUGAUCUGUCUGCUUAAUUGCGAUAACGAACGAGAUCUCUACCUCUAAAUAGGCGCCGGUCUCGCAUGUAAGUAGGGAUGUGUUGGGGGCCUUCGUGUCCCCUCAUGUCCUGAGAGUGCCGGGAUCGCUUCUUAGACGGACUGUGCAUGUCUUUAAUGCACGGAAGAGGGAGUCAAUAGCAGGUCUGUGAUGCUCCUAGAUGUUCUGGGCUGCACGCGCACUACACUGGCACAGUAAACGAGUUGCACCUGCUUCGGCAGUCCUGCUUAGAAGUGAGCGUGGGAAAUCUUAGAAAACUGUGCCGUGCUGGGGAUAGAUGAUUGCGAUUAUUUGUCUUGAACGAGGAAUGCCUAGUAGAGGUACUUCAUCAGAGUACCUUGAUUGUGUCCCUGCCAUUUGUACACACCGCCCGUCGUUGCUACCGAUUGGCUGUAAAAUAGAGGCCUUAAGAGUCGCUUCCGCAAAGCUUUGCUUUUGGGGUUGUGACAAAUCUGGCCAAUAUUUCAUUGCUAGAGGAAGCAAAAGUCGUAACAAGG